rnacentral:rRNA from 1 species
GACGAACGCUGGCGGCGUGCCUAAUACAUGCAAGUCGAACGCAGUGGGGACGGGUGAGUAACACGUGGGUAACCUCCCAUCAGAGGGGAUAACACUUGGAAACAGGUGCUAAACCGCUACUGAUGGAUGGACCCGCGGUGCAUUAGCUUGUUGGGGAGGUAACGGCUCACCAAGGCAACGCUGCAUAGACGACCGGAGAGAGUGAUCGGCAACACUGGGACUGGGACACGGCCCAGACUCCUACGGGAGGCAGCAUGAGGAAAUCUUCGGCAAGGGACGAAAGUCUGACCGAGCAACGCCGCGUGAGUGAAGAAGGUUUUCGGAUCGUAAAACUCUGUUGUUAGAGAAGCGGUAUCUAACCAGAAAGCCACGGCUAACUACGUGCCAGCAGCCGCGGUAAUAC